ACAGAUGUCGUCUAACGGCAGGACUGCGGUUUGCGUCGACAAUCCUCGCCCGCAUCGCGGGCCGACGUUCGAGGCUUAUCAGGCACCGCCUACGCCGGUUCGACUCCGGCCGUCUGUU
rnacentral:tRNA from 1 species